rnacentral:rRNA from 1 species
GAACGCGAAGAACCUUACCAAGUCUUGACAUCCUUUGACCACUCUAGAGAUAGAGCUUUCCCUUCGGGGACAAAGUGACAGGUGGUGCAUGGUUGUCGUCAGCUCGUGUCGUGAGAUGUUGGGUUAAGUCCCGCAACGAGCGCAACCCUUAUUACUAGUUGCCAGCAUUGAGUUGGGCACUCUAGUCGAGACUGCCGGUGACAAACCGGAGGAAGGUGGGGAUGACGUCAAAUCAUCAUGCCCCUUAUGACUUGGGCUACACACGUGCUACAAUGGAUGGUACAACGAGCAGCGAACUCGCGAGGGUAAGCGAAUCUCUUAAAGCCAUUCUCAGUUCGGAUUGUAGGCUGCAACUCGCCUACAUGAAGCCGGAAUCGCUAGUAAUCGCGGAUCAGCACGCCGCGGUGAAUACGUUCCCGGGUCUUGUACACACC